CGUAGGAGGCGAGCGUUAUCCGGAUUUACUGGGUGUAAAGCGCGUGCAGGCGGUUCGCUAAGUUGGGUGUGAAAGCUCCUGGCUCAACUGGGAGAGGUCGCUCAAAACUGGCGAACUGGAGAGGUGGUAGGGGAAGGUGGAAUUCCGGGUGUAGUGGUGAAAUGCGUAGAUAUCCGGAGGAACACCAGUGGCGAAAGCGGCCUUCUGGACCAUUUCUGACGCUCAGACGCGAAAGCUAGGGUAGCAAACGGGAUUAGAGACCCCGGUAGUCCUAGCCGUAAACGAUGUGAACUUGGCGCUGGUGGGGUAAAACCGGUCAGUGCCGUAGCUAACGCGAUAAGUUCACCACCUGGGGACUACGGCCGCAAGGUUA
rnacentral:rRNA from 1 species